UUAAGUUAUUAAGGGCGCACGGUGGAUGCCUUGGCACUAGAAGCCGAUGAAGGACGUUACUAACGACGAUAUGCUUUGGGGAGCUGUAAGUAAGCUUUGAUCCAGAGAUUUCCGAAUGGGGAAACCCAGCAUGAGUUAUGUCAUGUUAUCGAUAUGUGAAUACAUAGCAUAUCAGAAGGCACACCCGGAGAACUGAAACAUCUUAGUACCCGGAGGAAGAGAAAGAAAAUUCGAUUCCCUUAGUAGCGGCGAGCGAAACGGGAAGAGCCCAAACCAACAAGCUUGCUUGUUGGGGUUGUAGGACACUCUAUACGGAGUUACAAAGGACGACAUUAGACGAAUCAUCUGGAAAGAUGAAUCAAAGAAGGUAAUAAUCCUGUAGUCGAAAAUGUUGUCUCUCUUGAGUGGAUCCUGAGUACGACGGAGCACGUGAAAUUCCGUCGGAAUCUGGGAGGACCAUCUCCUAAGGCUAAAUACUCUCUAGUGACCGAUAGUGAACCAGUACCGUGAGGGAAAGGUGAAAAGCACCCCGGAAGGGGAGUGAAAUAGAACCUGAAACCGUGUGCUUACAAGUAGUCAGAGCCCGUUAAUGGGUGAUGGCGUGCCUUUUGUAGAAUGAACCGGCGAGUUACGAUUUGAUGCAAGGUUAAGCAGUGAAUGUGGAGCCGUAGCGAAAGCGAGUCUGAAUAGGGCGUUGAGUAUUUGGUCGUAGACCCGAAACCAGGUGAUCUACCCAUGACCAGGUUGAAGUUCAGGUAACACUGAAUGGAGGACCGAACCGACUUACGUUGAAAAGUGAGCGGAUGAGUUGUGGGUAGCGGAGAAAUUCCAAUCGAACCUGGAGAUAGCUGGUUCUCUCCGAAAUAGCUUUAGGGCUAGCCUCAAGUGAUGAUUAUUGGAGGUAGAGCACUGUUUGGACGAGGGGCCCUUAUCGGGUUACCGAAUUCAGACAAACUCCGAAUGCCAAUUAAUUUAACUUGGGAGUCAGAACAUGGGUGAUAAGGUCCGUGUUCGAAAGGGAAACAGCCCAGACCACCAGCUAAGGUCCCAAAAUAUAUGUUAAGUGGAAAAGGAUGUGGCGUUGCCCAGACAACUAGGAUGUUGGCUUAGAAGCAGCCAUCAUUUAAAGAGUGCGUAAUAGCUCACUAGUCGAGUGACACUGCGCCGAAAAUGUACCGGGGCUAAACAUAUUACCGAAGCUGUGGAUUGUCCUUUGGACAAUGGUAGGAGAGCGUUCUAAGGGCGUUGAAGCAUGAUCGUAAGGACAUGUGGAGCGCUUAGAAGUGAGAAUGCCGGUGUGAGUAGCGAAAGACGGGUGAGAAUCCCGUCCACCGAUUGACUAAGGUUUCCAGAGGAAGGCUCGUCCGCUCUGGGUUAGUCGGGUCCUAAGCUGAGGCCGACAGGCGUAGGCGAUGGAUAACAGGUUGAUAUUCCUGUACCACCUAUAAUCGUUUUAAUCGAUGGGGGGACGCAGUAGGAUAGGCGAAGCGUGCGAUUGGAUUGCACGUCUAAGCAGUAAGGCUGAGUAUUAGGCAAAUCCGGUACUCGUUAAGGCUGAGCUGUGAUGGGGAGAAGACAUUGUGUCUUCGAGUCGUUGAUUUCACACUGCCGAGAAAAGCCUCUAGAUAGAAAAUAGGUGCCCGUACCGCAAACCGACACAGGUAGUCAAGAUGAGAAUUCUAAGGUGAGCGAGCGAACUCUCGUUAAGGAACUCGGCAAAAUGACCCCGUAACUUCGGGAGAAGGGGUGCUCUUUAGGGUUAACGCCCAGGAGAGCCGCAGUGAAUAGGCCCAAGCGACUGUUUAUCAAAAACACAGGUCUCUGCUAAACCGUAAGGUGAUGUAUAGGGGCUGACGCCUGCCCGGUGCUGGAAGGUUAAGAGGAGUGGUUAGCUUCUGCGAAGCUACGAAUCGAAGCCCCAGUAAACGGCGGCCGUAACUAUAACGGUCCUAAGGUAGCGAAAUUCCUUGUCGGGUAAGUUCCGACCCGCACGAAAGGCGUAACGAUUUGGGCACUGUCUCAACGAGAGACUCGGUGAAAUCAUAGUACCUGUGAAGAUGCAGGUUACCCGCGACAGGACGGAAAGACCCCGUGGAGCUUUACUGUAGCCUGAUAUUGAAAUUCGGCACAGCUUGUACAGGAUAGGUAGGAGCCUUUGAAACGUGAGCGCUAGCUUACGUGGAGGCGCUGGUGGGAUACUACCCUAGCUGUGUUGGCUUUCUAACCCGCACCACUUAUCGUGGUGGGAGACAGUGUCAGGCGGGCAGUUUGACUGGGGCGGUCGCCUCCUAAAAGGUAACGGAGGCGCUCAAAGGUUCCCUCAGAAUGGUUGGAAAUCAUUCAUAGAGUGUAAAGGCAUAAGGGAGCUUGACUGCGAGACCUACAAGUCGAGCAGGGUCGAAAGACGGACUUAGUGAUCCGGUGGUUCCGCAUGGAAGGGCCAUCGCUCAACGGAUAAAAGCUACCCCGGGGAUAACAGGCUUAUCUCCCCCAAGAGUUCACAUCGACGGGGAGGUUUGGCACCUCGAUGUCGGCUCAUCGCAUCCUGGGGCUGUAGUCGGUCCCAAGGGUUGGGCUGUUCGCCCAUUAAAGCGGUACGCGAGCUGGGUUCAGAACGUCGUGAGACAGUUCGGUCCCUAUCCGUCGUGGGCGUAGGAAAUUUGAGAGGAGCUGUCCUUAGUACGAGAGGACCGGGAUGGACAUACCUCUGGUGUACCAGUUGUCGUGCCAACGGCAUAGCUGGGUAGCUAUGUGUGGACGGGAUAAGUGCUGAAAGCAUCUAAGCAUGAAGCCCCCCUCAAGAUGAGAUUUCCCAACUUCGGUUAUAAGAUCCCUCAAAGAUGAUGAGGUUAAUAGGUUCGAGGUGGAAGCAUGGUGACAUGUGGAGCUGACGAAUACUAAUCGAUCGAAGACUUAAUCAA
rnacentral:rRNA from 1 species